AGAUGUGCGCUACCACUGAACCGCCUGGCCUGCCUUCCCUCAGCACUGGGGUUACACGCACUUGUACCAGACCUCUUUUGUGUGGGUGUUGGGGAUCUCACCUCAGGUUCUUUUUUUUUUUUUUUAUAAAUUUAUUUUUUUAAGAUUUUAUUUUAUUGUAUAUGAGUACACUGUAGCUGCCUUCAGAUGCACCAGAAGAGGGCAUCAGAUCUCAUUACAGAUGGUUGUGAGCCACCAUGUGGUUGCUGGGAUUUGAACUCAGGACCUCAGGAAGAGCAGUCGGUGCUCUUAACCACUGAGCCAUCUCUCCAGCCCCAGGUUCUAACUCUCUUGUGGCUUGUACACUCCACCCAGUGGGUUCUUUCUCCAGCCUACUCCUUUGUUUUUAUUAUCUGUCUCUGGAGCCCAGGUUGCCCUUGGACUUUGAGCAAUCCCCCUGUGUCUCUCUCCCUCCUCAGGGUUGGGAUUAUAGAAGUGGCACAAAAUCAGGAGUUUAGACAAACUUCAUCCUAAAUAUUUCAUAAACGUGAGAACAUCUUCAUGUGAGACAUCAACACGAUGACUCACAUAUAGAAUCCCAGUAUCAGGGCUAAGGCAGGAAGACCCAGAGUGAGGACAGCCUAAGCUGCCAAGUAGCAUGAUGAUGAGGAUGAUGGUUACAAAGAAUUCUAGGUAUUCGGGUGGCCAGUGCCAUGCCACAGGAUUUCAGGAGGUGCCUGGAUGUACAGUGAAGUCAGCAGGGAAGACAGACCAGUAAAUGCCAAGACUGAGGAAGCUCAGCCUCUCCCUUGCCUCCCCCCUACCCCCGGCCACCCCAGGGCUACCCCGUUGUAAGUGAAAGGAGGGCUGUUUUCUUUGCCUCUGGGACAGGCGAGCAACCGUUGGCCGCACCGCCGAUGCAGCCGUUCUCCGUGAUGGAUGGCAGCCGGCUGGAGCUGCUGUUCCAAUUUGUUCCCAAUUUGGACAGCCGCUUUACCCACAAUUCACCUUGUCAGGGCCACAAAUCACUGUGGACAACCAGACUCAGAGAUUAGAGAAGCCCAGAAGAAAGGGGCCCCAGGCUGUGGAGGACCCCAGGCUGGGUAGCAGGCUUGUGGGACUAGGCACUCUCUCCCACCAGGCCUGCCUCCUGCCAGCCCUAGCCAGCCCGGGAUCUGGAUGACACUCUACCCAGGCAGGUUUGCUCCCUAAGCCUGUCCAUCCCUCGGAAGCCAGCAGGGGGUCCUUCAACCAGCACUUCUGCAGAUCCUCCACACCCAGGCUCUAAAGCCUCAGGCUUCCUGCUCUGUUUAUGGGGGUGUCUGACCACCCCAUACUCAGAGUUAGGGGAAGCCAGGCUCUGAAUCACUCACCUAUUCAUUCGUUCACUACAAAUAAUCAAAGGGAACACUUGCUAUGUCACAAUAGUAAGCAAAACCACUGGGCACACGAGUCAUAGGAGACACAAGGAAUCGUCACACGGAACGGAGGAGGCCUGCGACAGAGACUCACAGCCUCUCUCCUGUCCUUCACAGCCCUGGGAAGACUCACCUCUCAGGAAAGCCCAUGCGUGGGCACAUGGUGCCAGGUCCCUGGUGCCAGCCUGGGGGCCCAUGCCCACCACCCACUAGAGAUAAUGGAACAGAAAGGACAGGGGGUCAGGGUGGACCUGUUUACAAAGGCUCUUUGGAGCAACUCCCAUCUGCGUCGUCUGGAAAUCAGCAGUUCAGUUCACAGGUCUGGAAAGCAGCUCGAAUCAGCAUCGGUGGCACUACCUAGCGGGACAGCCAGGCUUCGGGACAGCCAGGCUGCAGCCUCGCACAGCAUGAGUCAGCAGGAGGGGCCAGGCGGGAGGCCAGCAGAAGUUCUUGGCUGUGCCUCUCUCAGUGAAGUGAACAUCAGGGAAGACUUGUUUAGCUAUGCAAGCGAGCCCAGCUGAGCUCAGCCAGUCACUGCUGCGUCCUUGUACUCCUUUCCUGUGUCUGUCUCAGCUGACGUCACUGCCAAUCAGCCCGAAUCCCAGGAAGCAACAACCGCAGCACACCACCAGAAGGUUUUUGGUGUGUUUCUCUCUAUGGUGUCCCAACAAAUGGAGCUCAACUAUGCAAUGUAAGGCAGACCAAUACAUGUGUGUCGUUAGCAAAGAAUCCUUUAUCACAUGUCCUUUCACGUGCUUGCUUUAGCAGAACAUCCUCUCCCCUGUGUCUGCUUCAGGGAACCGUUCCUUUCACACCCGUGUCUGCACUCAUGAAAUGUUCACUCAUUUGCCCCAGCAAAACACCAUCCAACACAACUGCCUUUCCGAAGAACCCCAAGUUUCCACUUCAGUCCUAUGUGUGUGGGUUUGGACCAGUGAACCCCACACCAGGACAGGAUUCAAAUAUUUUUCGUUUUUUGUUUUUGUUUUGGUCAGGGUCACUGGUAGCUCUGGCUGGCCUUGAACUUGCUGUAUAGCCAGAGGACCCUGAACUUCUGAUCCUCCUGCCUCCACUUUCCAAGUGGCACAAGCGUGAAUCACCAUACCCAGGGCAGCUCACAACCACUUGUGACUCCAGUUCCAGGGGAUCCAACGCCCUCUUCUGGCCUUCACUGGCAUUGCAGGGUGAUUCUCGGCCCCAACCCAAAGCACCCACUAAUGAGUCGGAAGAGUUGAGUUCCAGGAGUCUGUAAUUUCACCCGCACACCUCUCCAAAGCAGACUGGGCUGAGCAAGCCCAGUGGUGAACAUCAGGAUGGCAAUGUGACCUGUUGGGUGGGGCUGGAGAUGGGAGGGGCCAGGACCCUUUGUCUUCUCAGUCUAGAGCCAGGCAUGGUGGGUGCAUUGUCUAAACCCAUCUAGAACCCUAGCACACAUACACAGAGGCAGGAGGUUAGAGAGAGGCCCAGGCCGCUUUCCAAAGCCAGGAGGAAACGUGAUUAAACAAGAAAAUUCUAUUUUUGGUUCUGGUAUGAACAGAUAUUUUGAAAAAAAACAUGUCUGACCUCUCUCUCACACUCUGUGCACUUCUGAGCCCAGUACCAUUAGAGGGUGGGGUGAACUGAAGACCUGUGGACAGACAGACUUACCAGGUCCAGUGGGACCUUGUCUGUCCUGAACAGGCAUCCUGGGCUUCUCCCUGCUUUGGCAACAGGGCCCUUGCCCAGAGCCUGGCCUUCUUGGUGCUGAAGGAAGGGCUAGGGGUCCUGAGUGGGGGCAGGAGGUGAAAAGUGCAGACGUCAGGGGCUGUCUGUGGCUCUGCCGCUAGGAAAGAUCCUGGUGCAGACUGGUGCAAAAGCUGGGGCUAAGAAAUGGCCUAGUACCCCUGGGCAGGGUGUCAAGAGAGCCCCCGUUCACUGUCCUAGGUGGCUCUGGGCCUCCGUUUUCCUUAUUCACUGUGGAGAUGGAAACCUUGCCUUGAGCAGGCCAGGCUAGAGAUGUUAAGAGUUCUAGCACACGAUAUGCUGGGGUCAGUGUUCUUUGCAGGGUUCCAGCCCGAUCCGCUGUUCAUGGUCCUGUGUGCUCUGGGGUCAGCCACUCACACUCUCUCCCAUGGAGCAGUGAUGGGUGAGUCUGAGCCUGACCUCUGUGCUGCUUCUCUGAGUGGCUCCCCAUGAGAUGCUCUCCCGUCCUCUCCCAGGGCUCUGCUACCCCUGGCACUGCAGGCUGUCCACCCGUCAGUGACUCUCUAGGCCCCUCGUCCUGACCUGCUUGGCUUCUGGUUCUUUGUCUCAUCCUGGGGCCCAGCUG